rnacentral:rRNA from 1 species
CAGAUAUCGACAUAAAAAUGCGUUUGUUUAAAGGGGGUUGGUGGAUGCAUGAAACGGAUAAAAACCGUGAAUAGGUGUGUAAAUACCGUACAUAUUUAGGAGACUCAGCAGUAAAGUACAGGUGUAUAUUAAAGGGUUAUCAACCAUCUCCGCCACCGCUCAACAGGGUGAUUAUAUACCGGUUUAUUCUUCGGACGGGUGAGUAACGCGUGAGAAUCUAGCUUCAGGUGUGGGACAACCACUGGAAACGGUGGCUAAUACCGGAUGUGCCGGAAGGUGAAAGGCUUGCUGCCUGAAGAUGAGCUCGCGUCCGAUUAGCUAGUAUAGGGGGUAAGACCCUACCUGGGCGAAGAUCGGUAGCAGGUCUGAGACGAGCACCACCCACAGUGGCAGGGAGCCGCGGCCCAGUUUCCUGCGGGGGGGAGCAGGGGGGAAUAAUGUGCAAGGGGCGACAUCCUGGAGGGGCAAAACUGCGGGAGGGAGGAAGGAUUAUGGGUUGUAAACCUCAUUUCCUCAGGGAGGAACCCAACGGGCGUCCCUGAGUAAUAAGCAUCCGAUAAGUCUGAGCCAGCAGGCGCGGAAAUACUGAGGAUGCAAGACGUUCUCCUGAAUGAUUGGGAGAGAAGCCUCCGCACGUGGAAGGGAAACCCGCUCCCAAAUAGCAAAGGUGGAGUCUGUAAAGGCAGUGGAAAAUACGCCCCCAGCUUGCUUUUGGGCGCGGGGGGAAUACGUGAAAAAGCGUUGAAAUCCCACAGGAUUUCUCGGGGGGGAGAAACAGCGCGAAAAUGGGAUUAGAUNCCCCUGUGUCUGGAGGGGACCGAGAA